rnacentral:rRNA from 1 species
GGAUUAGAUACCCUGGUAGUCCACGCCGUAAACGAUGGGUACUAGGUGCUGCGGGUAUUUGACCCCUGCAGUGCCGUAAGUUAACGCGUUAAGUACCCCGCCUGGGGAGUACGGUCGCAAGAUUAAAACUCAAAGGAAUUGACGGGGGCCCGCACAAGCGGUGGAGCAUGUGGUUUAAUUCCAAGCAACGCGCAGAACCUUACCCAGGCUUGACAUCCUGAGAACUUGCCAGAAAUGGCUUGGUGCCCUUCGGGGAGCUCAGUGACAGGUGCUGCAUGGCUGUCGUCAGCUCGUGUUG